rnacentral:rRNA from 1 species
AUUGAACGCUGGCGGCAGGCUUAACACAUGCAAGUCGAGCGGGGUGAGGUGCUUCGGUACUGAUCCUAGCGGCGGACGGGUGAGUAAUGCUUAGGAAUCUGCCUAUUAGUGGGGGACAACAUUCCGAAAGGAAUGCUAAUACCGCAUACGCCCUACGGGGGAAAGCAGGGGAUCUUCGGACCUUGCGCUAAUAGAUGAGCCUAAGUCGGAUUAGCUAGUUGGUGGGGUAAAGGCCUACCAAGGCGACGAUCUGUAGCGGGUCUGAGAGGAUGAUGCGCCACACUGGGACUGAGACACGGCCCAGACUCCUGCUGGAGGCAGCGGUGGGGAAUAUUGGACAAUGGGGGGAACCCUGAGCCAGCCAUGCCGCGUGUGUGAAGAAGGCCUUUUGGUUGUAAAGCACUUUAAGCGAGGAGGAGGCUACCGAGAUUAAUACUCUUGGAUAGUGGACGUUACUCGCAGAAUAAGCACCGGCUAACUCUGUGCCAGCCGCCGCAGUAACAC